ensembl:lncRNA
GUCUUCUAUAUAUCUAUGGUCGACACGUCUGGUAGCAUCUCUGCCUGCUGUUGACCUUGUUUUUGGAGUAAAACACGGUGGAAGCUGAAUUAGUGAGGAUGACUCCUGCUCCUGUCAUCUCUAAGCUCCUCACACAUCUUUACCUGCACAUGAGGAAAAUCACUCCUGUAGAAUGCAGUGGUUCAUCAGAACCUCUGGGGAUGUCCUGUGGAUCCUGUGGGUUGCAGGGUGGGUCCUACCUAGACCAGGCUGAUCCUGGACCAUCCCACAGAUGCUCAAUCAGAUCUGGAUUUGGGGAGUGUG